UGUGUCUGUAGUGAAAUCGUGUGGCUCAACCAUAUAUACAUUACAGAAACUGCUCAGCUAGAGGGCGAGAGAGGUUACUAGAAUUCCUAGUGUAGGAGUGAAAUCCGUAGAUAUUAGGAGGAAUACCGAUGGCGUAGGCAGGUAACUGGCUCGUCCCUGACACUAAGGCACGAAAGCGUGGGAGCAAACGGGAUUAGAUACCCCGGUAGUCCACGCCGUAAACGAUGGAUGCUA
rnacentral:rRNA from 1 species